rnacentral:misc_RNA from 1 species
GAAGAAAAUAAAUUUAAAACCAAGUGCAGCAGAGGAAGCAGCUGCUGCUGCCAAAGCAGCAGCAGCAGCAGCAUCUGAUGUGGCAAAGGCGAGCCAAGAGAUGCUGUUUUCUAAAAAUGAAGAGAAAAAGAAGUUUGAGGACUGUGUCGACUUGUUGAAUGCUCAGCUUGGGCAGAUGAAGUUGAUGCUGAAGGCCAUUCAGAAUUUGGAAGCAACCACGUAUGGAAGAACUACUACCGUUGAUCAAGAAGAUUAUCGAAUUACUCCCAUGAGUUCAAAGCAGCCAUAUUCCAAUGGCAAGUUGGACCUUAGCUUCCAGUCAGCUACACCUGCCACACCUAUUGAACCCUCCGUUGCACCGCAUCCCAAGUCUUACAUGGAGAUCAUGGCCAUG